rnacentral:rRNA from 1 species
GAUGAACGCUGGCGGCGCGCCUAACACAUGCAAGUCGAACGAUUAAAGCACCUUCGGGUGUGUAUAAAGUGGCGAACGGCUGAGUAACACGUGGGCAACCUGCCCCUUUCAUUGGGAUAGCCACGGGAAACCGUGGAUAAUACCGAAUACUUCGAGACUUCCGCAUGGAAGACUCGAGAAAGCUCCGGCGGAGAGGGAUGGGCCCGCGGCCUGUUAGCUUGUUGGUGGGGUAACGGCCUACCAAGGCAAUGAGGGGUAGCUGGGUUGAGAGACCGACCAGCCAGAUUGGGACUGAGACACGGCCCAGACUCCUACGGGAGGCAGCAGUGGGGAAUCUGGCACAAUGGGCGAAAGCCUGAUGCAGCGACGCCGCGUGCGGGAUGAAGGCCUUCGGGUUGUAAACCGCUUUCAGCAGGGACGAGGCGAAAGUGACGGUACCUGCAGAAGAAGCCCCGGCUAACUACGUG